rnacentral:rRNA from 1 species
CCUACGGGUGGCAGCAGUGGGGAAUAUUGCACAAUGGGGGAAACCCUGAUGCAGCAACGCCGCGUGAGUGAGGAAGUAUUUCGGUAUGUAAAGCUCUAUCAGCAGGGAAUAGAAAAGAAGGUACCUGAAAAAGAAGCCCCGGCUAACUACGUGCCAGCAGCAGCGGUAAUACGUAGGGGGCAAGCGUUAUCCGGAUUUACUGGGUGUAAAGGGAGGGUAGACGGAAAGGCAAGUCAGAUGUGAAAACCACGGGCUCAACCUGUGGCCUGCAUUUGAAACUGUGUUUCUUGAGUACUGGAGAGGCAGACGUAAGUCCUGGUGUAGCGGUGAAAUGCGUAGAUAUUAGGAGGAACACCAGUGGCGAAGGCGGUCUGCUGGACAGCAACUGACGCUGCGGCGCGAAAGCGUGGGGAGCAAACAGGAUUAGAUACCCCUGUAGUC